rnacentral:rRNA from 1 species
GCCAGACUCCUACGGGAGGCAGCAGUGGGGGAUAUUGCACAAUGGGGGAAACCCUGAUGCAGCAACGCCGCGUGAGUGAAGAAGUAUUUCGGUAUGUAAAGCUCUAUCAGCAGGGAAGAGAAUGACGGUACCUGACUAAGAAGCCCCGGCUAACUACGUGCCAGCAGCCGCGGUAAUACGUGGGGGGCGAGCGUUAUCCGGAUUUACUGGGUGUAAAGGGAGCGUAGACGGCUGGUCAAGUCUGAAGUGAAAGCCCGGGGCUUAACCCCGGAACGGCUUUGGAAACUGAGCAGCUAGAGUGCUGGAGAGGUAAGCGGAAUUCCUAGUGUAGCGGUGAAAUGCGUAGAUAUUAGGAGGAACACCAGUGGCGAAGGCGGUCUGUUGGACAGCAACUGACGCUGAGGCGCGAAAGCGUGGGGAGCAAACAGGAUUAGAUACCCGAGUAC